rnacentral:rRNA from 1 species
GACGAACGCUGGCGGCGUGCUUAACACACGCAAGUCGAACGGAAAGGCCCUGCUUUUGUGGGGUGCUCGAGUGGCGAACGGGUGAGUAACACGUGAGUAACCUGCCCUUGACUUUGGGAUAACUUCAGGAAACUGGGGCUAAUACCGGAUAGGAGCUCCUGCUGCAUGGUGGGGGUUGGAAAGUUUCGGCGGUUGGGGAUGGACUCGCGGCUUAUCAGCUUGUUGGUGGGGUAGUGGCUUACCAAGGCUUUGACGGGUAGCCGGCCUGAGAGGGUGACCGGCCACAUUGGGACUGGGAUACGGCCCAGACUCCUACGGGAGGCAGCAGUGGGGAAUAUUGUACAAUGGGCGGAAGCCUGAUGCAGCAACGCCGCGUGCGGGAUGACGGCCUUCGGGUUGUAAACCGCUUUCGCCUGUGACGAAGCGUGAGUGACGGUAAUGGGUAAAGAAGCACCGGCUAACUACGUG